rnacentral:rRNA from 1 species
GACGAACGCUGGCGGCGUGCUUAACACAUGCAAGUCGAGCGGUAAGGCCCUUUCGGGGGUACACGAGCGGCGAACGGGUGAGUAACACGUGGGUGACCUGCCCUUAGCUCUGGGAUAAGCCUGGGAAACUGGGUCUAAUACCGGAUAUGACUCCAUGACGCAUGUUGUGGGGUGGAAAGCCUUGUGCGGCUAGGGAUGGGCCCGCGGCCUAUCAGCUUGUUGGUGGGGUGAUGGCCACCAAGGCGACGACGGGUAGCCGGCCUGAGAGGGCGACCAGCCACACUGGGACUGAGACACGGCCCAGACUCCUACGGGAGGCAGCAGUGGGGAAUCUUGCGCAAUGGGCGAAAGCCUGACGCAGCGACGCCGCGUGGGGAGUGACGGCCUCGGUU